AUUAAAAUAUUUAAUAUGGGUUUUAUAUUAUUUAAAUUAUAUUUAUUUUAUUUAAAUAUUUUGUAAUAAAUUAGAAAUAUUAAUUAGUUUAGAUUUAAUUAAGUGUAAAUAAUAAUUAAUUUAAGUUUUUUAGUGAUACAAAAAUAAGUUAAAUUAAUUUAUUACUUAAUUUUAUUAUAAUAAUUAAUAAUUAAAUUUAAUUGUAAUUUAUUGUUUAAUUAAUAUAAAAUAUAAAUUUAAUUUAAUUUAGAAAUUAAGAUUAAUUAAUUAUAAAUAAUUAUUUAAUAAUUAAAUUGAAUUUAAAGUUUUAUAAAUUUGUAUUUUAAUUAAAUUUAGUUAGAUGUAUAAAAUUUAAUAAUAAAAAAUUUAAGUUUUUUAUUAAUUAUAAUAUUAAUUGUUUUUAAAAAUUGAUUUAUUUAAGCAAAAUUGUUUUUUUAAGAUUAAAAGUAAUAUUAAUAAAUUAUUAUUUUUUUUGAUUGAAAAAUAUGAUUGGUUUAUUAAUUAAAUUUAUUAAUAUAUUAGAUAAUGUAAAAUAAAUUAAAAAUUUAUAUUUUUAAUGAUUUAAUUAGUAAUUAAAAAUUUUUUAAGACGAAAAUUUUAUUAAAUAAACUAGACAUAUUGUAUUGUCUAAUUGUUUAUUAAAAACGUAUUAAUAAGAUUGUAUAAAUAGUUUUAAUAUAUUAUUUAAUUUAUUAUUUAUUCUGCUCAAUGAAUUUAAUAUAUUUAAAUAGCUGCAAUAAUUUGAUUGUACAAAGGUAGCAUAAUAAUUUGUAUUUUAAUUGGAUACUUGAAUGAAUGAAUAAAUAAGAUAAUGAUUUUAUUUAAUAAUUGAUAUUAAGUUUAAAUUAAAUUGAAAAUUAUUUAAUAAAAUUGAUAGACGAAAAGACCCUAAAAAUUUUAUUAAUUCAUAUUAGUUUAAUAUGUAUUUAAUUUUAUUGGGGUAAUAAAUCAAAAUAUUUUUGAUUUUAAAAUAUUUAAAAUUAUUUAAAUAUUAAUUAAAUAAUAAAUUUAUAUUAAUUACUUUAGGGAUAACAGGAUAAUAGUUUUUAUUAGAAUAAAUAAUAAAGUCUGGUUGUUACCUCGAUGUUGAAUUAAUUGAUGAAAAAUUAAUAGUAAAAUUUUUGUUUAGUUUGUUCAACUUUAAUUAAUUACAUGAUUUGAGUUUAGACCGAUGUGAAUUAGGUUGGAUUUUAUCUUCAAAAUUUUAUAUAAAUUUUUUAGUACGAAAGGAUUUGAA
rnacentral:rRNA from 1 species